rnacentral:rRNA from 1 species
GACGAACGCUGGCGGCGUGCUUAACACAUGCAAGUCGAACGGAAAGGCCCUGCUUGCAGGGUACUCGAGUGGCGAACGGGUGAGUAACACGUGGGUGAUCUGCCCUGCACUUCGGGAUAAGCCUGGGAAACUGGGUCUAAUACCGGAUAGGAGCCAUUUUUAGUGUGAUGGUUGGAAAGUUUUUUCGGUGUAGGAUGAGCUCGCGGCCUAUCAGCUUGUUGGUGGGGUAAUGGCCUACCAAGGCGGCGACGGGUAGCCGGCCUGAGAGGGUGGACGGCCACAUAGGGACUGAGAUACGGCCCAGACUCCUACGGGAGGCAGCAGUGGGGAAUAUUGCACAAUGGGCGCAAGCCUGAUGCAGCGACGCCGCGUGGGGGAUGACGGCCUUCGGGUUGUAAACUCCUUUCGCUAGGGACGAAGCUUUUUGUGACGGUACCUAGAUAAGAAGCACCGGCUAACUACGUG